UACGGAGGGUGCAAGCGUUAUCCGGAUUCACUGGGUUUAAAGGGUGCGUAGGCGGCUGAUUAAGUCAAUGGUGAAAGCUCGCAGCUUAACUGUGAAACUGCCAUUGAUACUGGUUGGCUUGAGUACGAUUGAUGUGGGCGGAAUACAUCAUGUAGCGGUGAAAUGCUUAGAUAUGAUGUAGAACACCGAUUGCGAAGGCAGCUCACAAAAUCGCAACUGACGCUGAGGCACGAAAGCGUGGGGAGCAAACAGG
rnacentral:rRNA from 1 species